CGUGGAGACAGGUGGUGCAUGGUUGUCGUCAGCUCGUGUCGUGAGAUGUUGGGUUAAGUCCCGCAACGAGCGCAACCCUUAUGUUUAGUUGCCAGCACUUCGGGUGGGGACUCUAGACAGACUGCCGGUGAUAAACCGGAGGAAGGUGGGGACGACGUCAAAUCAUCACGCUCCUUAUGUCCUGGGCUACAAACGUGCUACAAUGGCCAUUACAGAGGGCAGCCACGUCGCAAGGCGGAGCGAAACCCAAAAGGUGGUCUCAGUUCGGAUUGGGGGCUGCAACCCGCCCCUAUGAAGUUGGAGUUGCUAGUAAUCGUGAAUCAGCAUGUCGCGGUGAAUGCGUUCCCGGGCCUUGUACACACCGCCCGUCACACCACGAAAGUCUGCUGUACUCGAAGUCGCUGAG
rnacentral:rRNA from 1 species